CCUACGGUGAGCAGCAGUGAGGAAUAUUGGUCAAUGGUCGGGAGACUGAACCAGCCAAGCCGCGUGAGGGAUGAAGGUACAGAGUAUCGUAAACCUCUUUUGUCAGGGAACAAAGGCGGGGACGUGUCCCCGGAUGAGUGUACCUGAAGAAAAAGCAUCGGCUAACUCCGUGCCAGAAGCCGCGGUACUACGGAGGAUGCGAGCGUUAGCCUGAUUUAUUGGGUUUAAAGUGUGCGCAGGCGGUCUGUUAAGUCAGCGGUAAAAGCCCGGGGCUCAACCCCGGCCCGCCGUUGAUACUGGCAGGCUCGAGUUGGAGAGAAGUAUGCGGAAUGCGCGGUGUAGCGGUGAAAUGCAUAGAUAUCGCGCAGAACUCCGAUUGCGAAGGCAGCAUGCCGGCUCCACACUGACGCUGAGGCACGAAAGCGUGGGGAGCGAACAGGAUUAGAUACCCUGGUAGUC
rnacentral:rRNA from 1 species